rnacentral:rRNA from 1 species
GACGAACGCUGGCGGCGUGCCUAAUACAUACAAGUUGAGCGCUGAAGGUUGGUACUUGUACCAACUGGAUGAGCAGCGAACGGGUGAGUAACGCGUGGGGAAUCUGCCUUUGAGCGGGGGACAACAUUUGGAAACGAAUGCUAAUACCGCAUAAAAACUUUAAACACAAGUUUUAAGUUUGAAAGAUGCAAUUACAUCACUCAAAGAUGAUCCCGCGUUGUAUUAGCUAGUUGGUGAGGUAAAGGCUCACCAAGGCGAUGAUACAUAGCCGACCUGAGAGGGUGAUCGGCCACAUUGGGACUGAGACACGGCCCAAACUCCUACGGGAGGCAGCAGUAGGGAAUCUUCGGCAAUGGACGAAAGUCUGACCGAGCAACGCCGCGUGAGCGAAGAAGGUUUUCGGAUCGUAAAACUCUGUUGGUAGAGAAGAACGUUGGUGAGAGUGGAAAGCUCAUUAAGUGACGGUAACUACCCAGAAAGGGACGGCUAACUACGUG